CCCCCCUUUCUCUGUGCAGGCAGCGGGAUGUAAAUCUCGAGGUCGCCGUUAAUACCCACCAACAAGCAGUGCUGUUUGUAGGUGAUUGCCGGGGGUUCUUUAUAAGCCUCCCGCAGACGGAUGGGCGGCCGGGGGCCGUAAAUACACCCAUCCACAGCCUCACGCCUGCAGCACUGCGCUCUGUGCUUCCCCACCUGGGGCUGCAGGGGGGGGGGGAGGUGGGUGAGCUCAGAGCCCCCCCUCUACGUGGGACGCUGUGCCAAUGCUGUGCUGGGGGUGUGCAAUGCAACCCCCUCCCCUCCCUCCCCCUCCAUGGGUACCACUUUCUCAGCAUCCCUCUGGGUCAGAGUGAGGAAAACACGAUGGGACAACGGCUCAGCUCAGGAAUUCCCUCUGCAAAAGGGUUUUUUUUUUUCCCAUGGGGUUUUUUGUAAUGGUUUCCCCCCACAUUUGCCCUGGGUUGAACCCCCCAAAGGAGCAGCAAUGAGGCGCCGUGCCCUGAUUUGCAUGGAUGGAUGAUUAGAGCUGAGCUCGGUGCCCAGAGAGCCUCUUUGCCUCCUUUUAAGACACCCUGAAGAGAAUCUCAUCUAUAGAAACCCAUUACUACCUUUAAUUAGCCUAAGCUUUAAUUAACCUUCGGGUCCAGCACCCUGCUAACCGUUAUCCCACGGCUGGUGGCCCUUCCUGUGCAGGACGCAAAGGUGCAGAUAGGAGACGGCGCAGGGAUGAGGGAUGCAGAAAUGGGAAGGGGUACCCCAAGAGCCACCUAUGGGGGGUGGGGAAAACGGGUCAAAAACCAACAACCCCCCCCCAAAAAUAACCAACCCCACCCGGGCUGCUCCUGGUGCAGCACCUCCCCAGUCCUCCCAGCAGAAGGAGCUUCCAUUCUCAUCCAUACCUGCAGCGUCUCCCCAUUCCUCCCUAUAGGAGGGACUUCCAUGGGUGGGAUCAUACCUGCAGCUCUCGUGUUUGGGAAUGGGGGGCACGGAGACCCCCCCAACCCCCCCUAAACCCCCCCUGGCAUCAACAGACCCUGAGCUUUCCCGUUGUCGGGCGGCCCCAGACGAUUCCCUGCCCCACCGACCGCCCUUUGAGACGCCAAACAAAUAAAUAAAGCCAAGAGAGAAAGUCUGAGCUGACAGAUCGCCCCGGAGGGAGCCCAGCCUGAGCUCGGGAGCACAAAGGCUAUAUUCUCACCCUGUGCAAAAUGCAUUACUGCCCCGUGCAGCCGCUCCUUGUGUAAAUACCGGCAAUUUAUGGCUGCUUCUCUCCCUGCAGCCCCACGGAUGGUAUUUGGAUGGAGGAGAGGAGGGCAGAAUGCGUCCCCGCGUCCUCUGAACCCCAACGAGGGCUCGGGGUGAAGCAGAGUUUGCUGCGCCUUUCCAGGCAGUGGGAAUAAAUACAGAAAGCAGCCCGGCUUCCCAUUCCCACUGCUGAGGCUGCAGUCCGGUGCCCACAUCUCCCCCUUUGGCUCCGAAGGAUUUGGGGGCGAGCUGAAGGAAAGGACCUCUGUGCAAAGGGCUGUGACCAUCCAG
ensembl:lncRNA